GAGAUGUUCAUGGCCUUUGAGUCUCCAAGGGCCCCUAAAACUGAGACCACUCGUGAGAAAAUGGUUACUAUUUUCCAUGAGAAACUUGAUUGCUAAUUAUCCCCUGUGAAACCUCUCCGCAGCAGCAACUCCAUUGCCAGGAGACCAGGAAACUUACCUCUCAACAUUAAGAACCCUAGCCCGUAGUCACUGACAACUUGGAGACUCACUUUUGUGGCCAGGGAGGAAGAGGAGAGCAAUGGAGGGAGGAGGGUCAUUGUCCUGAUGAUGGUCAAAACCUCUGACUCAUUCCAAACCAUUGCCUGCCAUGGACAAAGGUUCAUUUCCUUUUCUUCUUCCUCAUCACCUUUUGUCCACCUUUUUUGUCAGGCACCUGGUUUGCUAGCUGCUUUUAACAGAUAACACUGGGAAGCCCAUCUGUGACAUAUUUGGGAGGAAGCACGCUGGGCAGUUGGAGCAUCAACUUGGGCUGGAACAUCUGUCACAUUGCCAUUUGGGAAGACUGGCAGUGAGUGAGGACAAUAGAACUCUUCUCAGGGAAUCCCUAUCAUUGUAGCUUCCAGAACCUGAAGCUUCCUUCUGCCCCCAUACCCCACUCCUUGAUAAGAUCCUAAUGAUGCCACAGCACAGGGAUGCUUCCUUCUGAGAAACUGGGGCUGCCUCCUUCAUGAUAGCAGCUGAGGAUUUCCUUUUACCAGAUUUUCAAGGAAUCAUAAGCAGAGGAACAAACACCAUCAACCAAAGAAUAAGAUUCCAGAAAAAAAACAGAAGGAAAAUGAGCAGUAAGGAGAAAAAUGGUGGGAAAGCUGGACUGACAGGACAAGACCUUGGUUUGUGUUGAGGCAGCAUGGUGGCCAGAACUCUACUCAUGGACAGUGUAAGAGAAGGGCUACUUCUUCCAAAUGAGGAUCCGGGUCAGUGACUCCCAGGUGAGAGAAGAGGUUGGUGGUAUAUAUAUAUAUAUAUGUGUGUGUGUGUGUGUGUGUGUG
rnacentral:lncRNA from 1 species